rnacentral:rRNA from 1 species
UUGAACGCUGGCGGCAGGCCUAACCCAUGCAAGUCGAGCGGAUGAAGGGAGCUUGCUCCUGGACUCAGCGGCGGACGGGUGAGUAAUGCCUAGGAAUCUGCCUGGUAGUGGGGGAUAACGUCCGGAAACGGGCGCUAAUACCGCAUACGUCCUGAGGGAGAAAGUGGGGGAUCUUCGGACCUCACGCUAUCAGAUGAGCCUAGGUCGGAUUAGCUAGUUGGUGGGGUAAAGGCCUACCAAGGCGACGAUCCGUAACUGGUCUGAGAGGAUGAUCAGUCACACUGGAACUGAGACACGGUCCAGACUCCUACGGGAGGCAGCAGUGGGGAAUAUUGGACAAUGGGCGAAAGCCUGAUCCAGCCAUGCCGCGUGUGUGAAGAAGGUCUUCGGAUUGUAAAGCACUUUAAGUUGGGAGGAAGGGCAGUAAGUUAAUACCUUGCUGUUUUGACGUUACCAACAGAAUAAGCACCGGCUAACUUCGUG